rnacentral:rRNA from 1 species
CCCCUAGACGUUCUGGGCUACACGCGCGCUACAAUAAUACGCACAGCGAGUAUCACCGAGCUCGAAAGGGCAAGGUAAACAAUAGAAAAGGUACUGUAAUGGUUAUAGAUCCUUGUAAUUAUUGAUCUUCAACGAGGAAUUCCUAGUAAGUAUGUGUCAUCAUCACGCACUGAUUACGUCCCUGCCCUUUGUACACACCGCCCGUCGCUCCUACCGAUUGGGUGAGCCGAUGAAACUCUCGGAUGUAGGCUAUUCAUAGCCCGCAGAAGAGAUUUGAAUCGUAGCGCUUAGAGGAAGGAGAAGUCGUAACA